UACGGGGGGAGCAAGCGUUGUUCGGAUUUACUGGGCGUAAAGGGCGCGUAGGCGGCCAGCACAAGUCAGUUGUGAAAUCUCCGAGCUUAACUCGGAACGGUCAACUGAUACUGUGCGGCUAGAGUGCAGAAGGGGCAACUGGAAUUCUUGGUGUAGCGGUGAAAUGCGUAGAUAUCGGGAGGAACACCGGUGGCGAAGGCGGCCUUCUGGACAGUGACUGACGCUGAGACACGAAAGCGUGGGGAGCAAACAGG
rnacentral:rRNA from 1 species